UGGGGAAUAUUGCACAAUGGACGGAAGUUUGAUGCAGCGACGCCGCGUGGAGGGUGUAGGCCUUCGGGUUGUGAACUCCUUUUUCUCGCGAAAAAGGCACAGUUUUGGCUGUGUUGAUGGUAGUGGGGGAAGAAGCGCCGGCUAACUACGUGCCAGCAGCCGCGGUAAUACGUAGGGCGCGAGCGUUGUCCGGAUUUAUUGGGCGUAAACAGCUCGUAGGUUGUUCGUCGCGUCUGUCGUGAAAGCCAGCUGCUUAACUGUUGGUCUGCGGGGGGUAAGGGGGGGGUUGAGGGCGGGGGGGGGGACUGGAAUUCCUGGUGUAGCGGUGGAAUGCGCGGAUAUCAGGAGAAACACCGAUGGGGAAGGGAGGUCACUGGGCCGUUACUGACACUGGGGGGCGAAAGCGUGGGGGGGGAACAGG
rnacentral:rRNA from 1 species